ensembl:miRNA
UUUCGGGUGGAUGACCCCGCAAUUUUAAUAGUGGCAAAAAUCUUCCAACAAAAAUUGCACGGUAUCCAUCUGUAAUC